GCAAGAGUCAAGUUCCUGAGGCAAGAAUACCCCAUGACUGUUCAAAACAGCAAGAACCCAGUGAGGAUGGAGCGUAGUGAGCAAGGAAGACAGAGGAGGGGGUGACAUAGGGCAACCAAGGACUUCACUUGUUCCGUAUCAAGGGACUUACAGAGAGGACUCAUCUGAUUGAGAGCUUACAUAACUAAAAUCAAAUCUGCCCAAGAGCCAACUUAUAGAGUAACUGCCUUCUGCUUUCCAAGGUGUUGUGAUUAGAUUACCAAAUAAACUAAUCCUGUGUUAAUACUUCAAAAUUCUAGCCUCACAGAGAAUGUUAAAUCAAG